CCUACGAGUGGCAGCAGUGAGGAAUAUUGGUCAAUGGGCGCGAGCCUGAACCAGCCAAGUAGCGUGAAGGAUGACUGCCCUACGGGUUGUAAACUUCUUUUAUAAAGGAAUCAAGUGAGGCACGUGUGCCUUUUUGUAUGUACUUUAUGAAUAAGGAUCGGCUAACGCCGUGCCAGCAGCCGCGGUAAUACGGAGGAUCCGAGCGUUCUCCGGAUUUAUUGGGUUUAAAGGGAGCGUAGAUGGGUUGUUAAGUCAGUUGUGAAAGUUUGCGGUUCAACCGUAAAAUUGCAAUUGAUACUGGCAGUCUUGAGUACAGUUGAGGUAGGCGGAAUUCGUGGUGUAGCGGUGAAAUGCUUAGAGAUCACGAAGAACUCCGAUUGCGAAGGCAGCUUACUAAACUGCCACUGACAUUGAUGCUCGAAAGUGUGGGUAUCAAACAGGAUUAGAUACCCCAGUAGUC
rnacentral:rRNA from 1 species